rnacentral:tRNA from 1 species
UAGGCUUAACCUCUAAUAGGGUUUAUCUUGAUAGGGUAAAAUAAAACUAGCCUAU